rnacentral:rRNA from 1 species
UUAAGCGACUAAGCGUACACGGUGGAUGCCCUGGCAGUCAGAGGCGAUGAAGGACGUGCUAAUCUGCGAUAAGCGUCGGUAAGGUGAUAUGAACCGUUAUAACCGGCGAUUUCCGAAUGGGGAAACCCAGUGUGAUUCGUCACACUAUCAUUAACUGAAUCCAUAGGUUAAUGAGGCGAACCGGGGGAACUGAAACAUCUAAGUACCCCGAGGAAAAGAAAUCAACCGAGAUUCCCCCAGUAGCGGCGAGCGAACGGGGAGGAGCCCAGAGCCUGAAUCAGUGUGUGUGUUAGUGGAAGCGUCUGGAAAGGCGCGCGAUACAGGGUGACAGCCCCGUACACAAAAAUGCACAUGCUGUGAGCUCGAUGAGUAGGGCGGGACACGUGGUAUCCUGUCUGAAUAUGGGGGGACCAUCCUCCAAGGCUAAAUACUCCUGACUGACCGAUAGUGAACCAGUACCGUGAGGGAAAGGCGAAAAGAACCCCGGCGAGGGGAGUGAAAAAGAACCUGAAACCGUGUACGUACAAGCAGUGGGAGCACAGAGCAAUCUGUGUGACUGCGUACCUUUUGUAUAAUGGGUCAGCGACUUAUAUUCUGUAGCAAGGUUAACCGAAUAGGGGAGCCGAAGGGAAACCGAGUCUUAACUGGGCGUUAAGUUGCAGGGUAUAGACCCGAAACCCGGUGAUCUAGCCAUGGGCAGGUUGAAGGUUGGGUAACACUAACUGGAGGACCGAACCGACUAAUGUUGAAAAAUUAGCGGAUGACUUGUGGCUGGGGGUGAAAGGCCAAUCAAACCGGGAGAUAGCUGGUUCUCCCCGAAAGCUAUUUAGGUAGCGCCUCGUGAAUUCAUCUCCGGGGGUAGAGCACUGUUUCGGCAAGGGGGUCAUCCCGACUUACCAACCCGAUGCAAACUGCGAAUACCGGAGAAUGUUAUCACGGGAGACACACGGCGGGUGCUAACGUCCGUCGUGAAGAGGGAAACAACCCAGACCGCCAGCUAAGGUCCCAAAGUCAUGGUUAAGUGGGAAACGAUGUGGGAAGGCCCAGACAGCCAGGAUGUUGGCUUAGAAGCAGCCAUCAUUUAAAGAAAGCGUAAUAGCUCACUGGUCGAGUCGGCCUGCGCGGAAGAUGUAACGGGGCUAAACCAUGCACCGAAGCUGCGGCAGCGACGCUUAUGCGUUGUUGGGUAGGGGAGCGUUCUGUAAGCCUGCGAAGGUGUGCUGUGAGGUAUGCUGGAGGUAUCAGAAGUGCGAAUGCUGACAUAAGUAACGAUAAAGCGGGUGAAAAGCCCGCUCGCCGGAAGACCAAGGGUUCCUGUCCAACGUUAAUCGGGGCAGGGUGAGUCGACCCCUAAGGCGAGGCCGAAAGGCGUAGUCGAUGGGAAACAGGUUAAUAUUCCUGUACUUGGUGUUACUGCGAAGGGGGGACGGAGAAGGCUAUGUUGGCCGGGCGACGGUUGUCCCGGUUUAAGCGUGUAGGCUGGUUUUCCAGGCAAAUCCGGAAAAUCAAGGCUGAGGCGUGAUGACGAGGCACUACGGUGCUGAAGCAACAAAUGCCCUGCUUCCAGGAAAAGCCUCUAAGCAUCAGGUAACAUCAAAUCGUACCCCAAACCGACACAGGUGGUCAGGUAGAGAAUACCAAGGCGCUUGAGAGAACUCGGGUGAAGGAACUAGGCAAAAUGGUGCCGUAACUUCGGGAGAAGGCACGCUGAUAUGUAGGUGAAGUCCCUCGCGGAUGGAGCUGAAAUCAGUCGAAGAUACCAGCUGGCUGCAACUGUUUAUUAAAAACACAGCACUGUGCAAACACGAAAGUGGACGUAUACGGUGUGACGCCUGCCCGGUGCCGGAAGGUUAAUUGAUGGGGUUAGCGCAAGCGAAGCUCUUGAUCGAAGCCCCGGUAAACGGCGGCCGUAACUAUAACGGUCCUAAGGUAGCGAAAUUCCUUGUCGGGUAAGUUCCGACCUGCACGAAUGGCGUAAUGAUGGCCAGGCUGUCUCCACCCGAGACUCAGUGAAAUUGAACUCGCUGUGAAGAUGCAGUGUACCCGCGGCAAGACGGAAAGACCCCGUGAACCUUUACUAUAGCUUGACACUGAACAUUGAGCCUUGAUGUGUAGGAUAGGUGGGAGGCUUUGAAGUGUGGACGCCAGUCUGCAUGGAGCCGACCUUGAAAUACCACCCUUUAAUGUUUGAUGUUCUAACGUGGACCCGUAAUCCGGGUUGCGGACAGUGUCUGGUGGGUAGUUUGACUGGGGCGGUCUCCUCCUAAAGAGUAACGGAGGAGCACGAAGGUUGGCUAAUCCUGGUCGGACAUCAGGAGGUUAGUGCAAUGGCAUAAGCCAGCUUGACUGCGAGCGUGACGGCGCGAGCAGGUGCGAAAGCAGGUCAUAGUGAUCCGGUGGUUCUGAAUGGAAGGGCCAUCGCUCAACGGAUAAAAGGUACUCCGGGGAUAACAGGCUGAUACCGCCCAAGAGUUCAUAUCGACGGCGGUGUUUGGCACCUCGAUGUCGGCUCAUCACAUCCUGGGGCUGAAGUAGGUCCCAAGGGUAUGGCUGUUCGCCAUUUAAAGUGGUACGCGAGCUGGGUUUAGAACGUCGUGAGACAGUUCGGUCCCUAUCUGCCGUGGGCGCUGGAGAACUGAGGGGGGCUGCUCCUAGUACGAGAGGACCGGAGUGGACGCAUCACUGGUGUUCGGGUUGUCAUGCCAAUGGCACUGCCCGGUAGCUAAAUGCGGAAGAGAUAAGUGCUGAAAGCAUCUAAGCACGAAACUUGCCCCGAGAUGAGUUCUCCCUGACUCCUUGAGAGUCCUGAAGGAACGUUGAAGACGACGACGUUGAUAGGCCGGGUGUGUAAGCGCAGCGAUGCGUUGAGCUAACCGGUACUAAUGAACCGUGAGGCUUAACCUU